CACCCAUUUAGCGAACAAUAAUGACGGAAGGGUGCGUACGUACAAUGGACGAACGACGUAGGGCACACCCUGCCUCACUCUCUGCCUUUGGAAUAAGCUCUGGACCACCAUGACCCUGCAUUCACCAGGGAUUGUAUGUCCCCUUGCAUAACUCCAUAUUAAAAGACGCACAUGGUCUGGAAACUUAAAAAGUAUACUUGCCUGCAGUGAAUUCCAUGGAUGCAUCAUGUCCUCUGGACCACUCAAUGUGUAAAUGACCCUGGAUGAUCCUGCAUGACAUGCUGUUGUCCAGUGCCAAUUCACAUGGAUGCACACUCAUCCAGUCAUACCAACGGGCUAUUGAAGUGGAACAGGUGAUCUGAAAUAUUUUUCAUAUAAAGUUGUGUAAUUCUUACCCAUUUCAAAUUCAAAUUUUGUCACAUACACAACCAUACACAGUAUGAUGUGCAGUGAAAUGCUUUAUACAGCUGACAUAACAAUCUAAAAGGACAAAUAACAGGUACUAAAAUCAAAAAAAAAAUCUAUUUAUGCAUAUGUAAGAGCAAAAUAUAUAAAUAUCUAUAAACAGAUGUGCAACAAAUUAUAAAAAUUUGUGUGGCAUAAGAUGUAGUGCAAUAUGGUUUGUGCAGGAUCACACAGCUAGUUCAGUUUGAGUUUGUAUAUAUGAAAUGGAAUAGCAGAGGUGGAGUGGUUCCUGGAGGUGACUGGUUUUUAGUCCUUGGUGUUGUAUUGGUUGAGGGCCCAAACAGCCUGAGGGAAGAAACUCCUCUUCAUCCUCUCUGUGUUGGCCUUUAGGGAGCGGAAAUGCUUCACUGACCGCAACAGAGAGAAGAGUCCGUUCCUUGAAUGGCUGAGGUCUUUCACUAUUUUCCUGGCCUUGUUCCAGCAUCACUUGCUGUAGAUAGACUGCAGGUCAGGGAGCUCCAUUCGGAUGGUACAUUCAGCUGAACGCACCACCUUCUGUAGAGCCCGUCUGUCCUGCUGGGUGCUGUUCCCAAACCAGACUGUGAUGCUUCCUGUCAGGAUACUCUCAAUGGUGCAGGUGUAAAAGUUCCUUACCACCUUAGAGGGCAGUCUGAAGUCUCUCAGGUGUCUAAGGUGGUAGAGAUGCUGCUGGGCCUUCUUCACCAAGGUGUUAACAUGACAGGACAUGACAAGUCCUGCAUGAUGUGAACACCCAGGUACCGGAAACUGUCCACUCUCUCCACUGGAGUCCCAUUGAUCAUGAGGGGUUGGUAGCUCCUCUUUUGCUUUGUGCUGAAGUCCACAAUCAACUCCUUAGUCUUGCUGACAUUCAUGAGGUGGUUGUUUUCCUGGCACCAGUGCUCCAGGCGUGUUAUCUCCUCCAGGUAGGCCUUCUCGUUGUCAGAGAUCAGGCCCACCGCAACAGUGUCGUCAGCAAAUUUGAUUAUGGUGAUGGAGUUGGAAGUGGCCACGCAGUCAUAUGUGUACAGUGAGUACAGCAGGGGACUCAGAACACAACCCUGUGGGGCUCCAGUGCUGAGGGUGAGGGUGGGUGAGGCAUGUCUGCCCACCUGAACUGCUUGUGGUCUGUCCGUGAGAAAGUUGGGAGAUCCACUGGCAAAGAGAUGAGCUCAGUCCCAGGUCCUCCAACUUGGUGGUGAGUUUGGAGGGAAUUAUGGUGUUAAAUGCUGAGCUGUAGUCAACAAACAGCAUUUUAACAUAAUUUCCCUUCCUGGUGUCCAGAUGACUCAGUGCUGUGUAAAGGAGGUACACGAUGGCAUCCUCUGUGGAACGGUUGGAAUGGUAUGCAAACUGAAGUGGGUCCAGUGUGUCAGGUAAUGAAGAGGUGAAGUCUCUGACCAGUCUCUCAAAGCACUUCAUCACAACUGAAGUCAGGGCUACUGGGCGAUAGUCGUUGAGGCAGGCAAGCUGUGGUGUCUUCGGGACAGGGACAAUGGUAGACUGCUUGAAGCAUGUGGGGAUUGUUGAGUGCUCCAGGGAGAGGUUGAAUAUCUCCGUGAACACCAGUGCUAGCUGGUCCAUGCAGCUCUUAGGACCUGACCUGAGAUGCCAUCUGGUCCUGCUGCCUUCCUGGUGUUCGCCCUCCUCACCUCAUGUUCUGAGAUGGUGAAAGCAUUAUCCGCCCUGGCAUUGUCUGCAUGCAAGCUGGCAAUUGCGCUGAUAGCCCCAUUAGCACCUUCAGCAACGGCAGCGCUGUUAGUGCCGGUAGCAGCAUUAGCUGCAGCUUCGAAGCAAGCGUAGAAGGUGUUUAUCUCGUCUGCCAGAGAAGCAUCUGCAUUCACCAUUCUGGAGGAUGGUGCUUUGUAGUCUGUAAUUGUUCUUAGUCCCUGCCAUAGGCUUCUAGAGUCACUCUGCUGGAACUGUGACCCUAGUUUCCUUCUAUAGCGCUACUUUGCCUCCUUCACCGCUCUGCGCAUGUUGUAGGACGCAGCCUUGUACUCCUCCAUGUUCCUGGUAGCAAGCCCCAUGUUGUAGGCAGCGGUGUGAGAUCUCAGAGCGUCGCGGAUGGUUUUGUCCACCCACGGCUUCUGGUUGGGAAGCGUUUUGAUGAUUGUUUUGUUCACUGAAUCCCACAACCACUUCCGUAAAUUCGUUGUCAUCAGAGCUUUGCCGGAACAUGUCCCAGUCUGCGUCUUCUAGCACGUCCUGCAAGGUGGCCACUGAUUGGUCCGUCCAGCGUGCGACCUCCCUCUUGACCGGAGCUUCCUGUUUCAGCCUUUGUUUGUAUCUAGGCAUGAGGAAGAUGGUGGCAUGGUCUUAUUUCCCAAACGGUGGAAGAGACUGUGCCUUGUAGCCCCCUUUGAAUGGUGUGUAACAGUGGUCUAGUAUCCUUUCGCCCCUGGUGGGGCAGCUAAUGUGCUGGUGGAGAUUUGGCACUACGCGUUUGAGGUUGGCACUGUUGAAGUCCCCAGCCACAAUGAGCGCAGUGUCUGGAUGAACAGUCUGUGUGUAGGUGAGCGCUUCAUGUGUCGCACCAGCUGCUGUUCACCAUUAAACAUACUCCACUUGACUUCCCUGACUCAAGUGUUCUGUCCAUGCGAUAAACCGAGAAGAACUCAUCCGGCUGGAUGGCUGGGGUCAGCCAUGUCUCCGUGAAGGAGAGGAGGUUGCAGUCCCGAAUGUCUCUCUGGAACUUAACCUGGGCUCUGAGGACGUCCAGCUUGUUUUCCAGAGACUGGACGUUGGCUAACGGGAUACUAGGCAGGGGAGUGCAGUGUGUGCGAGCCCUCAGCCUGUUCCUGACGCUGGCUCGUUUUCUUCGGGGUCUGCGCCACGUGUCGCGUCCUUUGUUCGUUCUCAGGAUCUCAGUCGGCCAGCUGGGAGCUGGUGUUAAAGUCGUAUGGUGGGUGGCAUGUGUACCAAUAGAAAUAAGAGUAUUUCUAUCGUAGCUGAUAGAUUCUGAACAUCCUACUGAAAUUACACAAAUUUCGGCAAGUAAGACAAGCUUGCCAAAAUUUGUCCAAGAUAGAGACCAAUACCUGGACUGUAGCAGUACCUUCAUUCAUCAAUACAAAUCAGAUUUUGCAAAAUAUGCACAGUGGAAGGCUAUAGUAACACAGCAUGGCAUUGAGAAAGGAACUCUGUGGUCACACGGUAGAUAUUCCAGAAUCUGAAGAUAGUGACCAGGUCAGGAAGAAGCAUAUCUCGUCACUCAUCUACAAGAUCAGUCACUGAAACCUUCCUUUUGUAGGCUUCCCAUCUUCUUCCAUAAGUGGUUCACAGAGAAGCUUUCCAGUACUUGCUUUACCUGUAGACUUUACCUGAAAAUGCUGGAAUACCUGCAAUUCAGAAGAUAGCAUAUGACAGUCUCGAUGUCAUUAUGCCUUUUUGGCAGAUAUCUCGCACAGACACUGACCAGGCAAAAUGCAGUGCUGCAUUUUUUGAAACUCCAUGACAAGCACAGAACUCUAAUGAAAAACAAGAGGAGACAAAGUGACCCAGGAGGAUGUGUUAAAAUUGGGGAGUCUGUUUGAUGAAGGAGCCCCAGAUGCAGUUCAGGAAAUAGAGCAGAAUAGACCACUAAGCAAAGAGGAAAAAGAUGAGGACAUAGUUCCACAUUGACCGAAGAACUGACAGAAGACAUCAUAUGUCUGAACAUGACAAAAUUUGACACGAGGGCUAUUCAAUGGACAAUUAGGAUAGAACGAUUACAACAGAGAGAAGAACAUGGUAAGAUAUCUGUAUGAUUAUAGAACUUAAUGAAUGUUACUUUCUAUAACUAACUGGAAAAGUGUUUAAAAUUAACUUACACUGUACCAUUUAACAAUUGCAGAUGAACAUGCAGCAGCAGAUCUGUACAAUAACAUCACUGAUCAUUCUGAGGCAUCUGACAGUGACAAGAAUACAAGUGACAUGGAACUAACGAUCCAGAAGUCCAAAGCACCAGGGAUAUGUUAUAGGUUAUUGAGUACAAUAGACAACAGUUUGAGAGUUUCGGGAAAAGUUGUCUCUGUGACUGAAAAGUUAAUGUUUCAUAUGGUUAAGCAUUACAUGUUUUUAUGAUGUUUUUGGUUAUUAAUUUUGAAAGGACAUUUUAGACUGUAAUAUAGCUUAGAAAAUUAAGCUAAACACACACUGUCUACAACUGCUUGUCCCGAGGUGAACCAGUGCCUAACAAGGGGCGCAAGGCUGGAGGAAGAGGGGACACACCCUGGACUGGAUGCCAAUCUGCCACAAUUGGCACCCAGAAGUGUGGAAGAAAACUCCUGUAGCAAUAAAACCACUCAAGUGGUCACUGAGUGAAAUUCUCCUUGAUGGCAUUUACUCUUGAAAUGUAGUUUUGUCACUAAUAACACGAUGGCUUUUUUCCUCGUCCUCUUUUAGCUGCAGUGAAUCAGGCCAUUCGCUCUGUAAAGAACAGACUGAAGAACUGUUUCCCUGGAACACUUAUACAUUUAUGCUGAUAUUCAACAGAGAAAGAUAUUCUUAUGUUCCUGGACAAUAAGUAAGUAAUAAUGAUCACAAACAAGGUGGCAGAGACAAGUGACCUGCUGAGGAGACUUACUUUUUAAUGUGGGACACUCUGUCAACAUUCUCCUUAGAAAUUAUCCUGUAAUUUCAGGUUAUCUGCAGAAAUUAAAUUGAUUUCUAAUGAGCUGAUGUUUCAUUAUUGUUUUUUCAACUGGCCACAUGGAGUUUUGUUAGUUAAUGGUGCCAUGACAACUACAUUAUAAUGUAUUGCUGUUCAAGACUGCUAGGGGGUGGUCUACAGCAAUUACUCCCAGGUUGAAAGUGAGUCUUGCUGCGGUUGAGAGCCUAUCGCAGAAUUGCUGCGGGGAACACCAUGGAUGGGACACCAGUCCAUUGCAGUGUAGUCACACAUGCACACCUAUUCACACACUAUGGCCAAAUUAAUAUCACCAGUUCACCUUAACUGCAGGUCUUUGGAAUGUUAAAAGGAACCCAGAGCAUUCCCACACAGACAUGGGAAGAACAUAAAAACUUCACACAGACUGAGCCAGCUUCAAAUCUAUGCUCAAACAGCUCAAGUACUGUCAGAUGACAGUGGUACCCACUGCAACACCAUGCUGCCCAAUAAAAUGUCUAAUAUUUUAAUUAUUUUUUAAAUAUUAAAAAAAUUACAUUAGCUAUGCGUAAGUUUAGUAAAUCCAGUCUGCUUGCACUCCACGUGGGUUCCACGCUAGUAGAAGAAUUUUUACAAACAGCCAUCAUUGUCUUAAUGAGUACAAUGAGUCCUCACUCUGCCGGGGAGGUGAGUGACCUCUUAACUGAGUGGCACUGCAUUGUGUCCCACCACACUCUGCACUCCCUCUCUUCAAUCAUGAUCUCUAUCUUGCAUUUAAAUAUGUUUUGGUGUUUGCAUUUAAGCAGCUGC